CUGGAGGCACAGUAGACCUCCAUUCAAAUUGCAUGAAUCUCCUGUGUUCUGUGAGACUCUUCAGAUUAUGGGUUUCUAUAAAGACAAUUGGGAAAGUGACCUCUUCUGCACUGUAGAUGGCUGCUUAUGGUCUGGUCUGUCCCAGCAGAACUAAAGCUUCACUG